rnacentral:rRNA from 1 species
AUGAAUGAAGAACUCGACAAACCGUACACUGUGGAGGAGAUCAAGACGGCUUUGUUUCAGAUGGCGCCAUCAAAGGCGCCGGGUGUGGACGGAUUUAUAGCGGGAUAUUUUCAGCGGCAUCGGUCCUUGUUGAAAGAUGAUAUAAUUCCGGCUGUCCUAGAUUUCUUGAAUGGGGGAGUCCUACCUGAGGGCAUGAACGACACAUCUAUCACUUUGAUCCCAAAGGUGCGUCACUCGCAGCGUAUAUCUCAAUAUCGGCCCAUCUCACUGUGCCCUGUUCUCUACAAGAUUGCCUCGAAAUGCAUAACAAAUAGGGUACGAGUGUUUGUGGGUGAGAUCAUCAGUGAAGAGCAGAGUGCAUUUGUGCCCGGCCGGCUCAUUACUGACAACGUUCUCAUCGCUUAUGAGAGCGUUCACACUAUGAGACGUCGGAAUAAAGGAAAUAAUGUUUCUUGUGCCGUCAAACUCGACAUGAUAAAGGCAUACGAUCAGGUUGAAUGGCAUUUUCUGGAGGCAAUUAUGCUGAGAUUAGGUUUUAGUUCACAGUUUGUCAGACUUGUGAUGAAGUGUGUAACUCCGGUAAGGUUUAUAGUACGAGUGAAUGGACAAUUACUUCCCUACUUCACACCAUCUAGAGGUCUCCGUCAGGGAGAUCCUAGUUCAUCGUUUCUGUUUCUUAUCUGUGUAGAGGGUUUUACCUCACUGCUGAAGUUUUAUGGAGGUACCCAUGUUGACAGAGGCAUCCGUGUUAGCCCUCUUUCCCCUUGGGUUAAUCACCUACUCUUCGCUGAUAACAGCUUGAUAUUUCUGAAGGCAGAAAGGGCGAGUGCGACCAGGUUGAAUGAGGUGCUUCUAAUUUAUGGCGAAGGCUCGGGACAAUGUGUUAAUAGGGACAAAAGUUCUAUCUUUUUCAGUCCAAACACACCCGAUGCAGUUCGACAGGAACUCAAGACAGUGUUGGGAAUUACUGUGGAGGCGUUUAAUGAGCGGUAUCUGGGCCUUCCAACGGCCAUUGGAUGCAUUAAUUACCAGCGGUACUUUUGAAUACCUUGGUGAGAGGAUCAGAAGCAAGCUUCAAGGGGCACUGAACGACUUAUUUCAUGUGCCGGGAGGGAGGUCAGGAUCAAGGCCGUUGCCCAGGCGAUCCCGGCCUUCUCGAUGAGUUGCUUCAAGCUCACGAAAAAGUAUAUAAGGGUUUUUCAUAAAAAUAUGGCAAGGUAUUGGUGGAGUAGCUCAGUUGACCGCAGGUCUUUGCACUCGAUCGAUUGGGACUCACUAACUAAGCCAAAGAAUGCAGGAGGGAUGGGGUUCAGAAGCUUGGAAGUGUUUAACUUAGCUCUGCUUGGGAAACAUGGGUGGAUGCUGAUCACGAAUUCGGACUCUCUCUGCGCACGUGUCUUGAAAGGAAAGUACUUUCCCACCAGUGAGUUUAUGGAUGCAACUAUACCAAAGCAUGCAUUAGCCACUUGGAGGGCAAUUGUUGCGGGCAGAGAGGCCCUACGGACUAGCUUAAUAAAAAGGAUCGGAGAUGGUAUGUCUGUAUCAACAUGGAAUGAUAUCUGGAUUCCGGGUCUUCUCACACUUCGGCCUUCGGUGCAAAUCGGAGAUGCCGCAAUUCCUCGAGUUGCUGAUCUGAUUAAUGCUGAACAUGGUACUUGGAAGAGCAAACUCGUGAUACGGAAUUUUACAGCCCCUGAAGCAUAUGCAAUUCUAAAUAUUCCCCUGAGCUUCGAUUGGGGGGGGGGAUGA